AUUGAACGCUGGCGGCAUGCCUUACACAUGCAAGUCGAACGGCAGUACGGGAGCAAUCCUGGUGGCGAGUGGCGAACGGGUGAGUAAUAUAUCGGAACGUGCCCAGUCGUGGGGGAUAACGCAGCGAAAGCUGUGCUAAUACCGCAUACGAGCUAUGGAUGAAAGCGGGGGAUCGCAAGCCCUCGCGCGAUUGGACCGGCCGAUAUCAGAUUAGCUAGUUGGUGGGGUAAAGGCGCACCAAGGCGACGAGCUGUAGCUGGUCUGAGAGGACGACCAGCCACACUGGAACUGAGACACGGUCCAGACUCCUACGGGAGGCAGCAGUGGGGAAUUUUGGACAAUGGGCGCAAGCCUGAUCCAGCAAUGCCGCGUGCAGGAUGAAGGCCUUCGGGUUGUAAACUGCUUUUGUACGGAGCGAAACGCUCUGCCCUAAUACGGUGGGCUAAUGACGGUACCGUAAGAAUAAGCACCGGCUAACUACGUGCCAGCCGCCGCGGUAA
rnacentral:rRNA from 1 species